GGAGUUCUAUUCAUUCGAAUGUUCUGCGACAAGUGCUUCAAGCUCUGCAUGUCUUGUGGUGGGGAAUUCUGCAGCAAGUGCUCCGUUCAGGCAUACUCCAGGGAUGAAUGCAGCAUCUGCUUGUCAUGUGCAACAAAACGUGGCAACUUGUAAACUGUCUCACUGUACAAAUUUUUAUUCAGAGCAUAUAAGCAAAAGAAACGAAUCCAUUGUAUUAUCAUGUGUAGAUACAACUCUUUCAAAUACUA